CCGUGACGCCGCCUCCGCCUCUCAGCAUCGCCGUCGCCGGUUGCCGCCGGCUGCGGGCCGCCGCCCGUCCCGCGCUCGUCGGCCUCGCCGCCUCGCCGGAUCCGCCGUUCCACGGGCCGCCCGUAGGCCGUAGUGCCGCGCUGCCGCGCCGGCGAGCGGCGGCCAGGCCGCCAGGCAGGCAGGGGCAGGCGCAAGUGGCAAGCCGGAGGCCGGUGGCCGGCACAGCCAGCACCGCUGCAGUCUGCAUGGGCACCGCCGCACGGGCCACGGGGUGCCGCCGCACGGGGCGCCGCGGGCCGCCCCUUUCCCCUCCCCCUGCACUGCUGCACGGGGGUUUGCAGGACUGGAGCCCGAGCAGGCCUGAGCCCGAGAUAGUGAACCAAGGUUUGAACUAUGAAAAGGAAGAGGGGUGGCAGUGCCGCUACUGAUUUGAAAUUUUUCUUGCAAAGAGCUGCUGCGAAGAAGAAACCUCCUGAGCCAGAGGAUGGGGCAGACAUUUUUGAAUAAUUGUUUGAUCACAUUCAUUGAAAGGGAAUUCUUCUUGCAAGCAAGAGAUGAGGACAUCAUCAAAUAUUUUCAAGACAUGAAGGAUCAUAAAGUAAUCUUGUAAUUUAGCUGCUGCGAAGAAGAAACCUCCUGAACCAGAGGAUGGGGCAGACAUUUUUGAAUAAUUGUUUGAUCACAUUCAUUGAAAGGAUAUUCUUCUUGCAAGCGAAAGAUAAGGACAUCAUCAAAUAUUUUCAAGACAUGAAGGAUCAUAAAGUAAUCUUGUAAUUUGUAAGCAUCCUGCACCUGCAUCCUUGUCACCCAUUUGUUGUUUUAGAAUUUUACCCUCUAUUCCACUUUGAUAUGAUGAUCAUUUAGUAUGUAU